rnacentral:rRNA from 1 species
CCUACGGGUGGCAGCAGUGAGGAAUAUUGGUCAAUGGGCUUACGCCUGAACCAGCCAAGUCGCGUGAGGGAAGACUGCCCUAUGGGUUGUAAACCUCUUUUGUCAGGGAGCAACGCCGGCUACGUGUAGCCGGACUGAGAGUACCUGAAGAAAAAGCAUCGGCUAACUCCGUGCCAGCAGCCGCGGUAAUACGGAGGAUGCGAGCGUUAUCCGGAUUUAUUGGGUUUAAAGGGAGCGUAGAUGGGUUGUUAAGUCAGUUGUGAAAGUUUGCGGCUCAACCCGUGAACUGCAUUUGAAACUGUUGCCCUUGAGUGUCGGAGAGGUAAUCGGAAUUCCUUGUGUAGCGGUGAAAUGCGUAGAUAUAAGGAAGAACACCAGUGGCGAAGGCGGAUUACUGGACGAUAACUGACGGUGAGGCGCGAAAGCGUGGGGAGCAAACAGGAUUAGAUACCCUUGUAGUC